rnacentral:rRNA from 1 species
CGGACGGGUGAGUAACGCGUGGGUAACCUGCCUUGCACUGGGGGAUAACACUUAGAAAUAGGUGCUAAUACCGCAUAAGCGCACGGUCCUGCAUGGGACAGUGUGAAAAACUUCCGGUGGUGCAAGAUGGACCCGCGUCUGAUUAGCUGGUUGGCGGGGUAAAGGCCCACCAAGGCGACGAUCAGUAGCCGGCCUGAGAGGGUGGACGGCCACAUUGGGACUGAGACACGGCCCAAACUCCUACGGGAGGCAGCAG